rnacentral:rRNA from 1 species
GGUUAAGCGACUAAGCGUACACGGUGGAUGCCCUGGCAGUCAGAGGCGAUGAAGGGCGUGCUAAUCUGCGAUAAGCGCCGGUAAGGUGAUAUGAACCGUUAUAACCGGCGAUACCCGAAUGGGGAAACCCAGUGUGAUUCGUCACACUAUCAUUAACUGAAUCCAUAGGUUAAUGAGGCGAACCGGGGGAACUGAAACAUCUAAGUACCCCGAGGAAAAGAAAUCAACCGAGAUUCCCCCAGUAGCGGCGAGCGAACGGGGAGGAGCCCAGAGCCUGAAUCAGCAUGUGUGUUAGUGGAAGCGUCUGGAAAGGCGCGCGAUACAGGGUGACAGCCCCGUACACAAAAGCGCAUAUGCUGUGAGCUCGAUGAGUAGGGCGGGACACGUGGUAUCCUGUCUGAAUAUGGGGGGACCAUCCUCCAAGGCUAAAUACUCCUGACUGACCGAUAGUGAACCAGUACCGUGAGGGAAAGGCGAAAAGAACCCCGGCGAGGGGAGUGAAAAAGAACCUGAAACCGUGUACGUACAAGCAGUGGGAGCCCCACCACUAAGCCAGUGGUGAACUCCACAUACGCAUCCUUUGCUGAGGAGACGGUUAACGGAGCGAAAGCGACGUUCAACCUCAAAAGAAGCAGAGGGGGCUUAGUGGUGGGGUGACUGCGUACCUUUUGUAUAAUGGGUCAGCGACUUAUAUUCUGUAGCAAGGUUAACUGUAUAGGGGAGCCGGAGGGAAACCGAGUCUUAACCGGGCGUUAAGUUGCAGGGUAUAGACCCGAAACCCGGUGAUCUAGCCAUGGGCAGGUUGAAGGUUGGGUAACACUAACUGGAGGACCGAACCGACUAAUGUUGAAAAAUUAGCGGAUGACCUGUGGCUGGGGGUGAAAGGCCAAUCAAACCGGGAGAUAGCUGGUUCUCCCCGAAAGCUAUUUAGGUAGCGCCUCGUGAAUUCAUCUCCGGGGGUAGAGCACUGUUUCGGCUAGGGGGCCAUCCCGGCUUACCAACCCGAUGCAAACUGCGAAUACCGGAGAAUGUUAUCACGGGAGACACACGGCGGGUGCUAAUGUCCGUCGUGAAGAGGGAAAC